rnacentral:ncRNA from 1 species
ACGGCUCCGGUUCACGCCCGAUCACCGAUUCCGGCGACCCGGCGGCC